GUAAAUAUAGUUUAAAUAAAAUUUUAGCUUGUGAAUCUAACAAUAGAGAAUCAUAAUCCCUUAUUUACC
rfam:Ictidomys tridecemlineatus contig117194, whole genome shotgun sequence.